rnacentral:rRNA from 1 species
UACGAACUGUGCAAACGUUAUUCGGAAUCACUGGGCUUAAAGGGUGCGUAGGCGGCUGUCUAAGUAGGGUGUGAAAGCCCCCGGCUCAACCGGGGAAUUGCGCCCUAAACUGGAUGGCUAGAGUGAGGUAGGGGUGUGUGGAACUUCCGGUGGAGCGGUGAAAUGUGUUGAUAUCGGAAGGAACGCCGGUGGCGAAAGCGACACACUGGGUCUCAACUGACGCUGAGGCACGAAAGCCAGGGGAGCAAACGGG